UUUGUCCGGAAUGUGCUUCCUUCCAUGUCUUCAUAUCCAAAAGCCGCCCACCCUCUUCAAGGCUAUGUGUAAAUAUCUUCACCUUCAUGAAAUCUCCCUUGGGUCUCUCCAGCUGCCAGUUGUAAGAUACCAGGGUGGUGGAGAGAGCAACGUUUCCAGGACCAGACCUCCACGGCAUACAUCUCAGCUAUGCCGCUUCCUGGCAGCAGGGCUACGGCACUGAAUUGUGACUCUGGAUGUGUGCUGAUAAACAAAGCAGGGCAUCUUCAGGACGUUCUCACCAGCUUCUCCUCCGCUGAGCUGCCAACUCAUGCCUCCCUAAAGGAGGCCUCUUAACCAGCCCACCAGCACCAUCUCCUUCCCACUGAGCUUUCUGACUCAUAGCUGCAGGGUAGCGUGUAGCACCCUCAGACAAGAAUACAUCUUGCAAACUGCAUUGGGGGCUGCUUCUCUGGACUGCACCUUCUGGAUACCAGAACCAAGAUGACAACUGGGGUUGAAUUCUUCACAGAUUAGAGAGCAUCUAAUUAUACCUGGAAGAGUUUUUAGUUCAGAGGGUUUUAAAAAUAUGUAUAUAUUUUAUAUGUAUGUAUGUAUACAUAUUUCAUAAUAGUCAAACAUGACUAAUACUUGCUGUAUUGUUUCAGUUCUGUCAGUGAAAUUGGUUCACUCAUAUCUGACUGUCUAAAAAUCAUUAUGAUUCUAGACUUUGAAGAACAGAUUAAGAAUAAAGUCUGACACUUUUCUCUGAA